rnacentral:rRNA from 1 species
GGGGAAUAUUGCACAAUGGGCGAAAGCCUGAUGCAGCAACGCCGCGUGAGUGAUGAAGGUCUUCGGAUUGUAAAGCUCUGUCUUUUGGGACGAUAAUGACGGUACCAAAGGAGGAAGCACGGCUAACUACGUGCCAGCAGCCGCGGUAAUACGUAGGUGGCGAGCGUUGUCCGGAUUUACUGGGCGUAAAGGGUGCGUAGGCGGAUGUUUAAGUGAGAUGUGAAA